rnacentral:rRNA from 1 species
UACGGGGGGGGCAAGCGUUGUUCGGAAUUACUGGGCGUAAAGGGCGCGUAGGCGGUUGGAUAAGUCAGCUGUGAAAACCACGGGCUUAACUCGUGGCCUGCAGUCGAGACUGUCUGGCUUGAGUGUGGGAGAGGAGAGUGGAAUUCCUGGUGUAGCGGUGAAAUGCGUAGAUAUCAGGAGGAACACCGGUGGCGAAGGCGGCUCUCUGGACCACAACUGACGCUGAGGCGCGAAAGCUAGGGGAGCAAACAGG